GGUGAAUGGAUCCAUUUUGGAGACCACCACUCUAGACAGUUCCUACUGCUCCUGUUAUCUGUACUGCUCUUUUCUCCUUUAUUUCACAAAGAACUUCUUAAGAUCCUAAGAAAUGCAGCCUCAAUUAGAGCUCCGCAAUGCACUCUAGAAGGGAACUCAUCUGGAUUCCCUUCACCGGGUAGAAAGUGCAGCCCUCAGCCAGAAACACUACCUCUGACUGCCAAGGAUCCCACACAGCAUCCAGACUAUUCAGUCCACCGACUCUCUACUAUUUAUCUUAAAUCGAUGCCAGUCCACUGCGGCCUGGGUGGUCCAAGCUUGCGUUGCAGGCAGCUGCAGAGGUUCCAGCAGGCUGGAAGCCUCUGACGCAACCUUCCUUGUGAGGACUGAUUGGCCAAGAGCUGGCAGCCAGCCACGGGUGGUGUUUUUUUUUUUUUUUCUUUGCAGUGUUUGCACUUUUAUGUUUAAGCUGCUACCUUUGCUGAGCUGAACGGAGGCAAAGUGUUUGAGCUUUAUUUUCAAAACCGAGGAAGGUUAGCGAGAAGAAAGUGGUGUCUCAGGUCUCAUGUAGGUCUCUAGUAGAAGAUGAUGGAAGUUUACUUUUUUUGGUGAGCAUUUAUAGAUUCAGGCAUCUCGGAAUUUUGUGACUUCCUAAUUUCUACUUUGAGCUUCUUAAAGCGUCAGUGGUUAAAAUAAAGAAUGAUGCAAGGAAGCGGUGUGCUCCUCU
rnacentral:lncRNA from 1 species